rnacentral:rRNA from 1 species
GAUGAACGCUGGCGGCGUGCCUAAUACAUGCAAGUCGAGCGAACAGACGAGGAGCUUGCUCCCCUGACGUUAGCGGCGGACGGGUGAGUAACACGUGGAUACCCUAUCUAUAAGACUGGGCUAACUUCGGCAAACUGGAGCUAACACCGGAUAAUAUAUUGAACCGCAUGGUUCAAUAGUGCAAGACGGUUUUGCUGUCACUUAUAGAUGGAUCCGCGCCGCAUUAGCUAGUUGGUACGGUAAAGACUUACCAAGGCAACGAUGCGUAGCCGACCUGAGAGGAGGAGCAGGAACACUGGGACUGAGACACGGCCAAGACUCCUAAGGGACGCAGCAGUGGGGAAUGUUGGAGGAUGGGGGCAAAUCUGAUCCAGCAAUGCCGGGAGCAAGAAGAAGGACUUAGGGUUGUAAAAAGGUGUUGCGCGGGAAGAGAUAAUCAGGGCUAAUAGCCCGGGGGGGGGACGGUACCGGAAGAAGAAGCACAGGCUAGAUACGUG